rnacentral:lncRNA from 1 species
CAGAAUAAGUAAUAUUAUAUGGGAAGAGUUUUUGUCCUGUUAUAUUUUUAUAAAUCAAUAAAUGUAAAUAUUGUAACAGGCCAAAAUUGUCUGGCCCAAGCCCAAAGUAGACAACCCAAAAUACUUAAAACGAAUAACAGUCCAAAGUUAUUACAGUCCAAAUUCGGGCCCUAAACAACCUAAACAAAUGACCCACUACCCAACUACAACCCAGUAGGCCCAAUUUACAAGUGGCCCAAACACAACUCAAAAUCCCUAAUCCAAUUUCUAUCGGCCUAAUAGGCCCAAAAUAUUAAACCAACUCAGAAACCCUAGGGUUUCUGAGCCUCCCUCGCGCCGCAGCCACCACCCACGUGCCUCGGCGCGCACUCCGCCUGAAGGUCGACUCUCCUUGCACGGAAGUGGAAACUCCCUUGUCCAUUAACCUUCCAUGGACCUGCAAACAUGCAAAAAGGGAGAAAGCAAAUAGAACAGAAGCAGCACGCAAAGGAAACAAAACAAAAUAACUAAUAUAUGUAUUAUCUUUCGGUUAUAAAGCCCCAAAAACUAGAAAUGUAGUUUUUUACAAGCAUAUUAAGCAAUCAAAGAAAAAAACAAGGUUGAUUUUGACUUCUCGUGCUCCUUUCGUUCUUUUUAUUUUCGCUUUUAUUAUUAUUAUUAUUUUAUUUUUUUAUAAAUCUGUUUUAAACAAAGAAAUAGAGGAGAAAGAACACUUACCUGAACCCCGGGGUCGUGUCGUCGGAAUCCCUGCUCCGUCGUAGUCGCCGAAUCCCAAGGGGAAAAAGGGGAUCUUCUCUCUCAGGCCUUCGGGCGCUUUCAACUGGGGUUAAAAAAACCUUCUUUUCGCGCGAUCUCAACCACCACCCACGGUGGCGUCACGACGACGGCUGCGAUGAUGGGUUUUUGAAACCUUAGUAGAGAAAAUAAUGGAAACGGGGGGUGUUCUCUGAUUUUUUUAAGAGAAGGAAGCAAAAAUAAAA